rnacentral:rRNA from 1 species
CAGCCGCCGCGGGAAUACAGAGGGUGCGAGCGUUAAUCGGAUUUACUGGGCGUAAAGCGUGCGUAGGCGGCUUUUUAAGUCGGAUGUGAAAUCCCUGAGCUUAACUUAGGAAUUGCAUUCGAUACUGGGAAGCUAUAGUAUGGGAGAGGAUGGUAGAAUUCCAGGUGUAGCGGUGAAAUGCGUAGAGAUCUGGAGGAAUACCGAUGGCGAAGGCAGCCAUCUGGCCUAAUACUGACGCUGAGGAGCGAAAGCAUGGGGAGCGAACAGGAUUAGAUACCCCUGUAGUCCCUGUCUCUUAUAC